rnacentral:rRNA from 1 species
UACGUAGGGGGCAAGCGUUGUCCGGAUUUAUUGGGCGUAAAGAGCGUGUAGGCGGCCAGAUAGGUCGGUUGUGAAAACUGGAGGCUUAACCUUCAGACGUCGACCGAAACCAUCUGGCUAGAGUCCGGAAGAGGAGAGUGGAAUUCCUGGUGUAGCGGUGAAAUGCGCAGAUAUCAGGAAGAACACCCGUGGCUAAGGCGGCUCUCUAGUACGGUACCGACGCUGAGACGCGAAAGCGUGGGGAGCGAACAGG